rnacentral:rRNA from 1 species
AACGAACGCUGGCGGCGCGCCUAAUACAUGCAAGUCGAGCGAGAAGACGUAGCAAUACGUUUGUAAAGCGGCGAACGGGUGAGGAAUACAUGGGUAACCUACCCUCGAGUGGGGAAUAACUAGCCGAAAGGUUAGCUAAUACCGCGUACGCUCCUUGGACUUCGGUUCAGGGAGGAAAGCGAUACCGUGGGUAUCGCGCUCUUGGAUGAGCUCAUGUCCUAUCAGCUUGUUGGGAGGUAACGGCUCACCAAGGCUUCGACGGGUAGCUGGUCUGAGAGGACAAUCAGCCACACUGGCACUGCGACACGGGCCAGACUCCUACGGGAGGCAGCAGUAAGGAAUAUUGCGCAAUGGGCGAAAGCCUGACGCAGCGACGCCGCGUGGGGGAUGAAGGUCUUCGGAUUGUAAACCCCUUUCGGGAGGGAAGAUGGAACGAGCAAUCGUUCGGACGGUACCUCCAGAAGCAGCCACGGCUAACUUCGUGCC